CCUACGGGCGGCACCAGUGGGGAAUCUUGGGCAAUGGGCGCAAGCCUGACCCAGCGACGCCGCGUGUGGGAAGAAGGCCCUCGGGUCGUAAACCACUGUCAGGAGGGAAGAAAAGCAGUCCCCCAACAGGGGGCUGUAUUGACGGUACCCCCGGAGGAAGACCCGGCAAACCCCGUGCCAGCAGCCGCGGUAAUACGGAGGGUGCAAGCGUUAUUCGGAAUCACUGGGCGUAAAGCGCGCGUAGGCGGCAGCGCAAGUCAGAUGUGAAAGCCCUCGGCUAAACCGGGGAAUUGCAUCUGAAACUGCGUAGCUAGAGUUCGGGAGAGGGCGGCGGAACUCCCGGUGUAGGGGUGAAAUCCGUAGAUAUCGGGAGGAACACCAGAGGCGAAGGCGGCCGCCUGGACCGAAACUGACGCUGAGGCGCGAAAGCGUGGGUAGCAAACAGGAUUAGAUACCCUAGUAGUC
rnacentral:rRNA from 1 species